rnacentral:piRNA from 1 species
UGGUACAUUUGUCUUGAUGUGUUAUGCUU